GCUUAAAUAUCCCGCGCGGUGCCUCAAUUAUUAGCGCAGCGUCUUAAAUCGGUAAGCAAUUUCAUCCCCGUGAAAUACCUCAGGUAAAGUUUAUGAAUACACAGUGUAGCUGGCUGUUUACCGUGUACUGAUAAGGGUUUAAAUACGACACGUGUUGAUGAAAGUGUGUGUUUUCACAAGUUUGCGGUUAAUUGGAACAGGAGUGAUUGGAAUAUAAUUAGUUAAGGAUCAUAAUUAGUCUAUGCAAAGAAAUGGGAUAACAGUUGGUGGCGGCAUGCAUGGGCUCUUUCAACACACUUUUCCAUUGAAGAAGACUGGGCAGUUAUUGGAAUGGGCACAGGUGAAAGCCACCGUUACCACAGAUGAACACUUUGAGCACAAUGGAGUGGAUUAUUGGUAAUCUGUCCGAGUCUCACCCAAACCUGUGCAAAGUCGCUACAGUGGGACUGCUUCUACCAACCUCCACAGCUGAUUGUGAGAGAGGUUUCAGCAGUUGAAUGUGUAAAGACCACCCACCAUUCACCAGUGAGCAUGAAAGUGCUUAUAAUGCCUUACUCAUGGUGUCCAUGCAGGGACAAAAAUUGAAUGACUUUAAUUUCAGUGGUGCAGUAAAAGAAUGGCACAGUGCCAAUGACAGACACUUCUAUAAAAAAAUGCCUAUAUAUAGAUGUGUUGUUAGUGUUAGUACAAAAGAAGUGGAAGGACAUAUGUGUUGUUUCGAAAAUACUUAUAAAAGAAGUGGACAUCUGUGUAGUGUAUAUGAUAUAUUGAUGGUUAUAUGAUUAUGUGAAAAUGUAGAAGUAAUGAAAUACAUGUUGUUGUGUUUUUUUUGCAUAUGGUAUACUUAAAAAAGCACCAUUUGGGUUCGAUUUUUUAAAAAAAUUCGAACAGGGGAGGGGAAACCCCUCCUGCACCCACCCCUUAUCCCGCCACACAAACUUUACCCCAGCGCCUUAAAAAAUUUCUGGGGAAGGGCCUGGCUUAAU